UUUUUUUUUUUUUUUUUUUUUUUUUUUUUUUUUUUUUUUUUUUNUGGUUUUUACAAUGUUGCGUUUAUAGCGUUUGCUAUUGCUUAAUCUAGUUCAUGAAUCAUGAGUCUAAAAUUUGAUCGAAGCUAGUCUAAAAUUCUGUUGGAUUGGUUUUGCUUCGUGAAUCUUUGUUGUAUGUUUUUCUAUGUGCAAUUUCGAGUUAUGAAUUAACAACGGCUGCUUCCAUCGUCUAACAUUGAUUUUGUUGUGUGUGUGUGCAUGUCGGUGUUGAGUUUAUUGUCAAUUCUGGAACCAACAACGCCGUACAUCUCUCAACACCAAAAGCUUCUUCAUAUAUCGAUUUGUGAAUCCACAUGAACGUCAAUGAUCGGCUUCUUCACUUGACUGCAUUGUUACUGUGAUGAUGAUAAUAAGGAGGCUUUAUCUUCUGUUUUCUAUCGCAUUGAAAGGAAUCUGAGGCAAUCUCUUAGGCCAACAUAUGAAGUUCUAUUUGAGAGGUUGAAUACGCAUCCAGGAGGGUUGAGAUUUUUGUCUAUCUUCUGUGCUGAUCUUCUAUCGAUACUCACACUCUCUCUAGUGGUAUAACAGCUAAAGAAUGGAAAGGGCAAUUGAUGAGAGACGAUGCUUUACAUGCUUGUAGCCUUCAAGAUCAAUGCCCAUUACGCCCGCGGGCAUGCCCAUUAGACCGCUAAGGAAAGCGGGGCGGGUAUGGGCAGUGGUACUUAACCUGCCGCCCAUGGCGGGUCUGUCCGCAGCGUAUCCGACGACAACCAAGACCGUCGCGGUCAGACUGUUUGGUUGCGGGCAUGCCCGUUUGACACCUCUAGAUUUGAAAAUAGUCCUAGUUGAAGAUAUAUGUGUAGGAUUAUAUAAAUUUGUACUUACACGUUGAUUUAGUUUGUUUACUCACAUAUAAAGCAUAGUUAAAUCCAGCCGUAUAUGAGGUUCAUCUACAAAUGUCUUUUGUAUCAUUGAAGUCUGAUCAUUACUCAUGAUAUCCCAUUUUCUUUUGGUAGCAAGGUUUUCUGAUCUUGCAUGGUUUGUAUUUGUCUUUUUGUUGUUCAUGAUUUUAAUAGUGUACUUAAUGUUUUGA